UACAGAGGGUGCGAGCGUUGUUCGGAAUUACUGGGCGUAAAGCGCGCGCAGGCGGCCUUUUAAGUCUCACCGUUCAAGCCCGGAGCUCAACUCCGGUCCGCGGGGGAUACUGGGAGGCUAGGGACAUGUAGGGGCGAGCGGAAUUCCGGGUGUAGCGGUGGAAUGCGUAGAGAUCCGGAAGAACACCGGGGGCGAAGGCGGCUCGCUGGGCAUGGUCCGACGCUGAGGCGCGAAAGCGUGGGGAGCGAACAGG
rnacentral:rRNA from 1 species